rnacentral:rRNA from 1 species
GUACGUCCAUGGCCUUUAUGCCCAGGGCUACACACGUGCUACAAUGGGUGGUACAAAGAGCAGCCAGCUCGCGAGAGUGAGCAAAUCUCAAAAAGCCAUCCUCAGUUCGGAUUGAAGUCUGCAACUCGACUUCAUGAAGUCGGAAUCGCUAGUAAUCGUGGAUCAGCAUGUCACGGUGAAUACGUUCCCGGGUCUU